rnacentral:lncRNA from 1 species
UAGCUUACAGAUGCAAUCAGUUCAAAAAGCUGUAAUCAGUUCAAAAUCACUUUUAAGACCCAGUGCCUAUUGGAAUCUAAAUAAUUAGCAGCUCUUAAAAGGCUCUUGUAGGAAAGUGCCACUGCCAGUGUCUGAGAGGAUGGCGCCGCCCAGCCCGCGCCGAUGCCACAAUCUUUCUCUACAAUUGCUGCUGGGUGCUCACAGCCCACACCUCUGUGUUACACAGUCCAGUUUAAAGGGUCCUCUUCUCGCCUUUCUUUGUCUGCUUUGGAGCAGCGUGACGACUGCCUCUCUGUAGCUAAGGAAGGUCUUCUGCUCCUUUCUGACUCAGAACAGCAGAGAAGGCUGGAGGGAGGUCUGCUGUGUCACCAACCACAAGGUGGUGACCCAAGAGUGCACAUCAGCAUUCCCAGGGGAACCAAAAGACUGCCUGGGCCAAAGGAGUAAGAAAUGCCCGUAUUGUAUCCACGUGUUUCCCUAGAAACCCUGACGGGGAGGUUUGCAAAGCAAGUCUACAGACUGCCAACGUGAGAACCGAGUGCUUAGCAUCAUUUCAUAAAACAAACCAACCAACCAACCUGAGACUGGAGAAAGCAGAUCAACUCCUCAAACUUGUCCUGACCUCCACACUAUGGCUAUGGCAUGUUCUUAUCCACCCCGCCCCCAACACAAAUAAAUGAAAUUUUUUUAAAAAAAUGUUUUUUAAGUGGACCUGAGCAGAUGCCAUUGCCCUUUGAUGCCGACACACCCUUAACUGCUUUAAUCUAUACAGUGUAUGCCAUCAUUUGUCCAGCGCGUCUUC